AGUUGCUGUGUGAAGGACAAGAUCACUGUGAGUUGAGUCAUUAAAACAUAUGCACGUGUUAUUUUAGAAUAUCAACAUUUGCACAGACGCUUUCACAGAUGUCUGGAUUUCCCUUUCUAUGAUGAGACAGCAAUGACACAGCAGCAGCACAAUGACUGGGCAGCAGCUCUGGAAAGCAGAUACUGAGGAUGAUAGAGAAUCACAAGUUGGAAAUAGGCCUGAAUGUGCAAAAGGGGCAUCAUAGUGGUGCUUAUAUGCAGAGUGCCAUAUCCAUGGCAUGAAGUAAAUGAGCAUUUCCUUUAUCAGAAACCUGAACUGAAGUGUGUGCAAUUAGAAGAACAGGUCAUGAUAAAUGUAAAGCAAUUGGACAGUAAGAGAGUGACAAGAGUGAUGUGAGGAAAGACUGAAAUGACUCAGUCUAGAAAACAUAAAAUGGACAAAAUUGGCCAAUAUAGUGAGGGAGAUGCUUUCAUUUCCAUCAGAGGAAAUUUUAACAGCAUGCUAGAUAAAUAUAUUUCAGAAGCAAUUAAAGUUGAUCCUGCCUUGAGACAAGGCACCGCAACUAAAAGGACCAAAGAUGAUUUUUGUGGCAGUUUUCAGGAUUUAUCCUCUCUGUUUUUUGAUCUCUGCAGUGCCAUAGAAACUGCAAUACCCCGCACUGCCCUGCAGGGGCUGGAAGCUGCACCUCUUGUUACAUCAUCUCUCAGAAUUCCUUCUGUUAUGUGGUGUUUUGGUUUAGUGAUGAUGAGAAUAGACUGUCUCAUGGUGCGUGUGGCUGAUUCAUUGCAUCUGACGAUGCAGGGCACUCUGUUACUUACUACUUCUUAAUAUUGAGUUUAAUUACCCUGUUGACUUUAUUCUAAGGUCCAAACUGAUGGCAGCUUUCUGAGAAGUCAUACUGCGAGUUUGUCUGGAAUCAUCAGACAAAGUACAUUCCAUUUCCAUAUGCAGGAAAGUGCUGGAGAGUUCUGCUAACAAAAAGGUUUUUUUGGGGGUGCCUGGAGACUUUUGGAAGGAGUUGGGUAGUUAGUUCCAAGCCCCAUCUCAGCCAAAGCAGAUGGUUUUCACAGGAGACAAAAAAAGAGAAGUCAGACAAAUACUGGCCACGCAUCAACCCAGUCAGAAAUCCCACAGCAGCAGAAAUCCCAGCGUGGACAGCAAUAAGUGGACAGCAUGAGAAAAGAGAAUGCUAAAAGUGAAUGUGUAGCUUCAUGAUUUUGUGUUUGUGGAGAUUUGAACACCCUUUAGUGUUGAAGUCCUGCAGAACCAUCUGAUCCUGCUGACAUUCCAUUUAAUCAGCGUAUGGCCUGAGGGCUCUCUGCAGACACUGCAGUGUGCAGGGGCACUUUUUGUCCUCGUAGCUGGCUCUUGGUUUGUAUUACAAACUUUAUGCAUUUGAAAUGAUGUAAACAUUAAAUUUUCUCUGCAUCAAGGCUUUAAGCACC